rnacentral:rRNA from 1 species
CUGGCUCAGGAUGAACGCUAGCUACAGGCUUAACACAUGCAAGUCGAGGGGCAUCAUGGAGUUGCUUGCAAACUCUGAUGGCGACCGGCGCACGGGUGAGUAACGCGUAUCCAACCUUCCCUAUAGUAGAGGAUAGCCCGGCGAAAGUCGGAUUAAUACUCUAUGUUUUCCGUUGCAGACAUCUAAGAUGGAACAAAGGCUUGCCGCUAUAGGAUGGGGAUGCGUCUGAUUAGGUAGUCGGCGGGGUAACGGCCCACCGAGCCAUCGAUCAGUAGGGGUUCUGAGAGGAAGGUCCCCCACAUUGGAACUGAGACACGGUCCAAACUCCUACGGGAGGCAGCAGUGAGGAAUAUUGGUCAAUGGGCGAGAGCCUGAACCAGCCAAGUAAGCGUGCAGGACGACGGCCCUAUGGGUUGUAAACUGCUUUUAUGCGGGGAUAAAGUUCACUACGUGUAGUGUUUUGUAGGUACCGCAUGAAUAAGGACCGGCUAAUUCCGUGCCAGCCGCCGC